rnacentral:misc_RNA from 1 species
ACAAACUUGGUCAUUUAGAGGAAGUAAAAGUCGUAACAAGGUUUCCGUAGGUGAACCUGCGGAAGGAUCAUUACUAUAACUGAAAGUUGCCGGUUCAGGCCGGUCAGCAUUCAUCAACCCUUUGUGAACCAAAAAACCUUAGCUUCGGUAGCAGGCCGGUCACCUUUAGUUAGGAGUCCGCGCCGUCAGCCUGCCGGUAGCACCCAACCAAACUGUUUAUAAAUUUUGUCUGAAUCAAAUCAUUUUCGAAUGAAAUUAAAACUUUCAACAACGGAUCUCUUGGUUCUCGCAUCGAUGAAGAACGCAGC